rnacentral:rRNA from 1 species
GGUUCCUACGGGGGGCAGCAGUAGGGAAUUUUCGUCAAUGGGCGAGAGGCUGAACCAGCCAAGUCGCGUGAGGGAAGACGGCCCUACGGGUUGUAAACCUCUUUUGUCGGGGAGCAAAGCGAGUCACGUGUGACUCAUUGAGAGUACCCGAAGAAAAAGCAUCGGCUAACUCCGUGCCAGCAGCCGCGGUAAUACGGAGGAUGCGAGCGUUAUCCGGAUUUAUUGGGUUUAAAGGGUGCGCAGGCGGAGGUGCAAGUCAGCGGUCAAAUUGCGUGGCUCAACCCCGUACUGCCGUUGAAACUGCA